rnacentral:rRNA from 1 species
AUACAGAGGGUGCGAGCGUUAAUCGGAAUUACUGGGCGUAUAGCGCGCGUAGGCGGCUGAUUAAGUCAGAUGUGAAAUCCCAGGGCUCAACCUUGGAACUGCAUCUGAUACUGGUCAGCUAGAGUUUAGGAGAGGGAAGUAGAAUUUCAGGUGUAGCGGUGAAAUGCAUAGAUAUCUGAAGGAAUACCAGUGGCGAAGGCGGCUUCCUGGCCUAAAACUGACGCUGAGGUGCGAAAGCGUGGGUAGCGAACAGGAUUAGAAACCCCAGUAGUCC